rnacentral:rRNA from 1 species
UACGUAGGGUGCAAGCGUUAAUCGGAAUUACUGGGCGUAAAGGGCUCGUAGGCGGCCAACUAAGUCAGACGUGAAAUCCCCAGGCUCAACCUGGGAACUGCGUCUGAUACUGGAUGGCUUGAAUUCGGGAGAGGGAUGCAGAAUUCCAGGUGUAGCGGUGAAAUGCGUAGAUAUCAGAAGGAACAUCAGUGGCGAAGGCGGCUUUCUGGACCAAUACUGACGAUCAGGUGCGAAAGCGUGGGGAGCAAACAGG